GACGAACGCUGGCGGCGUGCUUAACACAUGCAAGUCGAACGGAAAGGCCCUGCUUUUGUGGGGUGCUCGAGUGGCGAACGGGUGAGUAACACGUGAGUAACCUGCCCUUGACUUUGGGAUAACUUCAGGAAACUGGGGCUAAUACCGGAUAGGAGCUCCUGCUGCAUGGUGGGGGUUGGAAAGUUUCGGCGGUUGGGGAUGGACUCGCGGCUUAUCAGCUUGUUGGUGGGGUAGUGGCUUACCAAGGCUUUGACGGGUAGCCGGCCUGAGAGGGUGACCGGCCGCAUGGGGACGGAGACAGGGCCCAGACGCGAAGGGGAGGAAAGGGGGGGAAAUAGGGCGGAGGGGGGGGGAGCCAGAGGGGGAGGCCCCGGGUGCGGGAUGACGGCUUUGGGGUGAAAACCCGUUUGCGCCGGAGAAGAGGGGGGAGUGACGGGAAGGGGUAAGAAAGCCCCGGCUAACUACGGG
rnacentral:rRNA from 1 species